rnacentral:rRNA from 1 species
CCUACGGGGGGCAGCAGUGGGGAAUAUUGGGCAAUGGGCGGAAGCCUGACCCAGCGACGCCGCGUGAAGGAGGAAGGCUUUCGAGUUGUAAACUUCUUUGGGGAGGGACGAAGAUGAUGGUACCUCCAGAACAAGCCACGGCUAACUACGUGCCAGCAGCCGCGGUAAUACGUAGGUGGCGAGCGUUAUCCGGAUUUACUGGGUGUAAAGGGCGCGCAGGCGGCCCUGGAAGUCAGAUGUGAAAGAUCAAGGCUUAACUUUGACAGGUCAUCUGAAACUUUGGGGCUUGAGUAUCAGAGGGGAAAGUGGAAUUCCUAGUGGAGCGGUAAAAUGCACAGAGAUUAGGAGGAACACCGGUGGCGAAGGCGACUUUCUGGCUGACAACUGACGCUGAGGCGCGAAAGCGUGGGGAGCAAACAGGAUUAGAUACCCUGGUAGUCCACGCCGUAAACGAUGAUUACUGGGUGUAGGGAGUAUCGACUCUCUCUGUGCCGAAGCAAACGCGAUAAGUAAUCCACCUGGGGAGUACGGCCGCAAGGCUAAAACUCAAAGGAAUUGACGGGGACCCGCACAAGCAGUGGAGUAUGUGGUUUAAUUCGAGGCAACGCGAAGAACCUUACCAGGGAUUGACAUCCUGCGCUAGGCCUGGAGACAGGUUGUUCCUUCGGGACGCAGAGACAGGUGGUGCAUGGUUGUCGUCAGCUCGUGUCGUGAGAUGUUCGGUUAAGUCCGGCAACGAGCGCAACCCUUGUUGUCAGUUACCAUCAUUAAGUUGGGGACUUUGGCGAGACUGCCGUUGACAAAACGGAGGAAGGUGGGGAUGACGUCAAAUCAUCAUGCCCCUUAUAUCCUGGGCUACACACGUACUACA